rnacentral:rRNA from 1 species
ACGUAGGGUGCGAGCGUUAAUCGGAAUUACUGGGCGUAAAGGGCGCGUAGGCGGCCAUCUAAGUCAGACGUGAGAUCCCCCGGCUUAACCUGGGAACUGCGUCUGAUACUGGACGGCUUGAGUAUGGGAGAGGGAUGUAGAAUUCCAGGUGUAGCGGUGAAAUGCGUAGAUAUCUGGAGGAAUACCGGUGGCGAAGGCGGCAUCCUGGACCAUUACUGACGCUGAUGCGCGAAAGCUAGGGGAGCAAACGGGA